AGGGGAAGGGGAGUGCCUGGCGCUGCAGUGCAUACUGAAGCAGAGGAAACGCUUGUGAUUCCAGGGGUGGGUUUUCCUUGUAAGGAGGAAGGAGCAGAUACUGAUUUGUUACAGAUUUUUUUUACCGAAAGGGGCUGGGCACGGUGAAGGUAAUUUGAAUGAGGUGCAGUCCCUGUCCACAGCUACUUAAAAUCCAGUGGGUGAGACUGGCAGCCACAGCAGAUUAGAGCCUGAGGACACAGGCUGAAGGAGCCACUGCAUUGGUUUGCAUAAAGGAGUGAGCUGUGCUGUGGAGGAGGUUAAAGAAAAAGAAACAGAAGAAAUCACUAAUGCCUUCAAACAGUAACAGCAUGUUGAUUUACAGAAACCUCGUGACUGGGACCACGGCAACUGGAGUUGGUUAACCAAAAGAGAAGUUUCACCAUACCCCCUUGGACCCUUGCUGGCGUCUAGAUGUCUACAGUCAUCAAUCACCUGACCUCAAUCCCCUCCCGGUUCCCCCUUCCCCUGACAUAAAAUAAGCCAGAAUUCUGCCCUCUCUCAAGAUGGUUCCUUAAGACACUGGUCCACCAUCUUCUUUGCUUGCUGGCUCUCCAAGUAAAAUCACUUUCCUUGCCCCAACUCCUUGUCUCUUGACUUACUGGCUAUCGUGAGCAGCUCGUACUUUUACUCAAUUACAAGUUAAGUGUGUUGGUGUAGAGGAAGGAUUGGGAGUGCCACUACAGUUUUCAAUCUGAUGGUCAAGAAGGGCUUGGGAGAAGGGGCCCUUGGAGCAAAGACCUAAAGAAUAAAGACGGGGUUGGCCGAGUGGCUCAGAU